UACAAAUGGACAUAUUAAGGUGUCGCAGAUGAUGCAGUGCAAGCUGUAUUCCAUUAUCCAUUAAGUCCCUUGGGUUCACAAUAGCAUUUUUGGAACAUUACUAAUUUGUCACAUCUCACAGAAAGUAGUCUGUAAAGUCAAUAAACAGUGCUGAAUGUAGAUCAUUGAUUGCAUCUCUUAUUCACAUUGAACCAAGUUGUCCUAAACAAGUUGUCCCUGAAAGUCAACUGACCCUUUCCAGCUAAACGAGAACAUCUGUUGGCAAUACUCUGGGUGUGGGGUGCUGUGGUCUGGUUGUAAUUCAGAGGAAUCUAUUUAACAUCUUGAGACUGCACAUGACACAGAAGACCAUGCCAGUUUAGUCUUGAGGGUAAGAUUGGAUUGACAACAUAGAAAAUUUCCAUCGCUCCGUCUACAGCAUAGCCUUGCAGCUUUGGAGAUGUGGAGUGGUUUCAUCAAAGGGAGCUGGAUGGAAUCCAGAUCGGAUAAAUCUGCGCUAAUGUGGGGAACGUGCUUUGUGAUAAGUGUGCUGUGUGGACGCAUUUCAUCAGUCUAAAUGCCUGUCUCCUGUUUUAUCAAUAACGGCCAUAAAACAUACAUUUUAAAGCAUUAGGAAUGAGGUCACUCUAAUGGCAUCACAUAACGUUUUGUAGAUCGAUUACAUUUAUCUGAUUAUUUAAAAAGAAAAGAACCCAAUCACCUGAAAAGAUCACAGUCUUACAAUGAAAUAUUGUGAAUCCCAAUGUGAAUAAUGUAAACUGCUAAUGUAAAUGUGUUACUGGUAACUGUACGGUUGGAAUUCUGAUAAUCUUUUUCUGGGAUAGGUAUCAGUAAGCAACACUGUUCGUCCUACUUAUUUCGACUGCUAGCCUUUCCAGAUCACUUGUUGACAUUGCCCAGAUGGAAAAGGGUGUAGAUCUAGUCUCCUAACUUGGACCUCUGUUGUCCCCUAGUGGUCUUUUAACAGCAAGGUAGUUCUCAGCUGUACAUACAGUGGCUCUCCAAAGUAUUCUCUCCCACCUUGGACGUUUGAACAAUUAAUUGUGUUACAACAUUCAAAUGGAUUUGAUUAGGAGUUGUUGCCAAUGAUCUACACAAAAUAGAUCCAAAAUGUCAAAUUGAAUAUAAAUACAUAGAAAUUAAUCUCAAAUACAAAACAGAAAAUAAUGGAUUACGUAAGUAUUCACCUGCUUUAGUGAAUAUUUGGUUGAGGUUUUUGGCAUCAAUUACAGCCAUUACUCUAUUUUAAUAACUCUACCAAAUUUGAACAUCUGGACUUUCUUCUUUGCAAAACUGUAAAUUCUUCUUUGCAAAACUGCUCAAGCUCUGGGCCAGUCCAGUACAUUAAAAUGUUUGUCACUCCAUUGUGGCUUUGGCUGAAUGUUUGUGGUCAUUGCCCUGCUGGAACAGUCAUUUUCUCCCAAGAUUUAAGUUUCUUUCAGACUUUGUCAUCCAGGAUUUCUCUGUACUUUGAGGCACCCAUUUUGCCCUCUAUCUUCAGAAGUUUUCCAGGCCCAGAGAAGCAUCCCCACAGCAUGAUGCUGCCACCACUAUGCUUCACAGUAGAGGCGGUGUUCCCAGGAUGAUGCACAGUGUUAUGCUUGUGACAAACAAAGUGCUAAAACAAAAAGUUAUAUUUUGGUCUCAUCAGACCAAGGAAUCUUCUUCCACUUGGUUUCAGAAUCUCCCACAUGCUAUGAUUUGAUAUGAGUUUUUUUCAUAAAUGUUUGUAUCUUUCCCAUAACAGCUACUUUUGUAAAGCACCCAGCAUAUAGUUGCUACUUUCGCCCAGAUACUCAGUUUAAGAGGACAACCUUUUCUAGAAAGAUUCACACCUGAGCCAUAUACUUUACUGUGCUCCAUAUGAAUGAUUUGGAAAUGUCCUCAUAUCCUACACCAUUGGUGCUUUCGAAUAACUUUAUUCCAGAAUUGCUUUGAAUGUGCCUUGGUCUUCAUGAAGUACUUUUUGUAAGUAAUUGUUCUAACCAACUGUGGGUCAGAUGUAUAUAACCUAAGUCAUGUGAAACAUGUUUUUUGCACACAGGUAGACAUUCAACUAAUUAGGUGACUGUACAGACAGUGGUUGCACCACUGCAUAUUCCGGUGUUUAAUAAAAAGUUGGGGGAUACAUAUGCAAUCAAUUAUAAAAAAAUAUGAAUUUAAAAUCUGUUUUAUAUUUGAAAUUCAUUUCAAUUCAUUCAAUGAUUUUUCACUUUGACAUCAUGUUUUUUUGUUGUUCAGUGGCAAGACACCUGAUGAAAUCCAUUUUGAUUUCAUGCUGUAUGUAACAAAAUAAAAAGUGCAAAAGUCUAAGGUAGAAGAAUACUUUUAUACGUUAUCAAAGUAGGUGAGUUUUCUAACUCAUCAAUACAUGUUGUACAAUGUAUGCUUAUGUUUAUCAAGGAUCCACAAAUUAUUUUUAAUGUAAUAAAAUCCUUACAAAUCUA